GAUGAAGAACGUAGCGAAAUGCGAUAAGUAAUGUGAAUUGUAGAAUUCAGUGAAUCAUCGAAUCUUUGAACGCACCUUGCGCCCUUUGGCCAUUCCGAAGGGCAUGCCUGUUUGAGUAUCAUGAACACCUCAACUCUUUAUGGUUUUCCAUGAUGAGCUUGGACUCUGGGGGUUUUGCUGGCUCACAGUCGGCUCCUCUAAAAUGAAUCAGCUUACCAGUGUUUGGUGGGUAUCAUGGGUGUGAUAACUAUCUACGCUUGUGGUUUUUCCACCAGGUAACCUUCAGCAGUGGAGGUUCGCUGGAGCUCAUAGAUGUCUCUCCUCAGUGAGGACAGCCCUUUGAAUGUUUGAUCUCAAAUCAGGUAGGACUACCCGCUGAACUUAAGCAUAUCAAUAAGCGGAGGA
rnacentral:misc_RNA from 1 species